UACGUAUGGAGCAAGCGUUAUCCGGAUUUACUGGGUGUAAAGGGUGCGUAGGCGGCACAGCAAGUCAGAUGUGAAAGACCGGGGCUCAACCCCGGGGCUGCAUUUGAAACUGCCGAGCUUGAGUCCGGGAGAGGCAGGCGGAAUUCCUAGUGUAGCGGUGAAAUGCGUAGAUAUUAGGAGGAACACCAGUGGCGAAGGCGGCCUGCUGGACCGGAACUGACGCUGAGGCACGAACGCGUGGGGAGCAAACAGG
rnacentral:rRNA from 1 species